AACGAACGCUGGCGGCGUGCUUAACACAUGCAAGUCGGACGUGAAAGUUUCUUUCGGGGGACGAGUAAAGUGGCGCACGGGUGAGUAACGCGUAAGUAAUCUGCCCUGGCAUUGGGAAUAACUUGUCGAAAGAUGGGCUAAUACCGAAUACGCCGAGAGAUCGGGAAAGGGAGCUUCCGUAAGGGGGCCUCUGUGCUGGGAUGAGCUUGCGUACCAUUAGCUAGUUGGCGGGGUAAGGGCCCACCAAGGCGACGAUGGUUAGCGGGUCUGAGAGGAUGAUCCGCCACACUGGAACUGGAACACGGACCAGACUCCUACGGGAGGCAGCAGUGAGGAAUAUUGCGCAAUGGGGGAGACCCUGACGCAGCGACGCCGCGUGGAUGACGAAGGCCUUCGGGUUGUAAAGUCCUGUCGGAUGGGAAGAAUGGCCACGGAUUGAAUAGAUUUGUGGCGUGACGGUACCAUUAGAGGAAGCACCGGCUAACUCCGUGCCAGCAGCCGCGGUAAUACGGAGGGUGCGAGCGUUGUUCGGAAUUACUGGGCGUAAAGGGCGCGCAGGUGGUUCAGUGGGUCAGAUGUGAAAGUCCCGGGCUUAACCUGGGGAGUGCAUUUGAAACUGCUGGACUUGAGAGCUGGAGGGGGUGGUGGAAUUCCCGGUGUAGAAGUGAAAUUCGUAGAUAUCGGGAGGAAUACCGGUGGCGAAGGCGACCACCUGGCCAGCAACUGACACUGAGGCGCGAAAGCGUGGGGAGCAAACAGGAUUAGAUACCCUGGUAGUCCACGCUGUAAACGAUGUGAACUAGAUGUUGGGCUGGUUAAUCGGCUCAUUGUCGCCGCAAACGCAUUAAGUUCACCGCCUGGGGAGUACGGUCGCAAGAUUAAAACUCAAAGGAAUUGACGGGGGCCCGCACAAGCGGUGGGAGUAUGUGGUUUAAUUCGACGCAAC
rnacentral:rRNA from 1 species